rnacentral:tRNA from 2 species
AAGAAAGUGGCAGAGUGGUAAUGUGAUUGGCUUGAAACUAAUCUACGGGGGUUCAAUUCCCUCCUUUCUCG